rnacentral:rRNA from 1 species
GAUGAACGCUGGCGGCGUGCCUAAUACAUGCAAGUCGAGCGAACAGAUGAGGAGCUUGCUCCUCUGACGUUAGCGGCGGACGGGUGAGUAACACGUGGAUAACCUACCUAUAAGACUGGGAUAACUUCGGGAAACCGGAGCUAAUACCGGAUAAUAUAUUGAACCGCAUGGUUCAAUAGUGAAAGACGGUUUUGCUGUCACUUAUAGAUGGAUCCGCGCCGCAUUAGCUAGUUGGUAAGGUAACGGCUUACCAAGGCAACGAUGCGUAGCCGACCUGAGAGGGUGAUCGGCCACACUGGAACUGAGACCCGUUCCAGACUCCUACGGGAGGCAGCAGUAGGGAAUCUUCCGCAAUGGGCGAAAGCCUGACGGAGCAACGCCGCGUGAGUGAUGAAGGUCUUCGGAUCGUAAAACUCUGUUAUUAGGGAAGAACAAAUGUGUAAGUAACUAUGCACGUCUUGACGGUACCUAAUCAGAAAGCCACGGCUAACUACGU